GGGGGAAAAAUUAAUAAGAUAAAAUAAAAAAAAAAAUUAAAAAUAUUAUAAUGGGGGUUAAAGUAUUUUUAAGAAAAAAUUUUAUUAUUUAUAGGGGAAUAGUAUUGUGAAAGAAUUUUGAAAAAUUUUGAAAAAGAAUUAUUUUAAAAGUAAAUUUAAUUUAUUGUAUCUUGUGUAUCAGAGUUUAUUAAAUAUUAUAUUUAUGAAAAUAUAUCUCGAAUUUAAAAGAGAUAAUUAAUUAAUAAAGUUAAUGUUAUAUAAUUAUUUUAAAUAAUUAAUUUGAAAUGAAAUGUUAAUCGUUUUUAAAUAUAUCUAGUUUUUUUAGAAAAAAAUUCAAUUUUAAAUUAUUUUUUUUUUAAUUAAAUUUUUAAUAAAAAAAAUAAAUAAUUAAAUAUUUUAGGGGAUAAGCUUUAAAUUAAAUUUUUAUAUAUAAAUUAAAUUUAUAAUAAGAUUUUUAGAAUUUAUAUUUUUUAUAAAUUAUAAUUUUUUAUAAAUAAUUUUAUUAAUAUUAAAAUUUAAUUGAUUAUUUUAAAUUUUUAUAAAAAAAUAUUUUUUAAUUAAAAUAAAUUAGGAAUAAUGAUAAAAUUAGUAUAUUUUUUAUAAAAAUUUAAAAUGAAUUUUAAUUAAGAAAAAGGAAUUCGGCAAAAAUUUAUAUUCACUUGUUUAUCAAAAACAUGUCUUUUUGAAAAUAAUAAAAAGUCUAAUCUGCCCACUGAAUUUAUUUAAAGGGCUGCAGUAUAUUGACUGUACAAAGGUAGCAUAAUCAAUAGUCUUUUAAUUGAAGACUUGUAUGAAUGAUUUGAUGAAAUAUGAACUGUCUCUUUUUUAAAAAUAAAAUUUAAUUUUUUAGUUAAAAAGCUAAAAUAAUUAUAAAAGACGAGAAGACCCUAUAGAGUUUUAUAGUUAUUUAAUUUAAAAAUUUUAUAUAUAAUUUAAAUUUAAAAUUAAUUAAUUAUUUUAUUGGGGUGAUAGAAAAAUUAAAAAAACUUUUUUUAAAAAUUUAACAUUAAUUUAUGAAAUUAUGAUCCAUAAUUUAUGAUUAAAAGAAUCAAUUACCUUAGGGAUAACAGCGUAAUUUUUUUUUUUAGUACAAAUAAGAAAAAGAGUUUGCGACCUCGAUGUUGGAUUAAGAUAAAAUUUAAAUGCAAAAGUUUAAAAUUUUUGAUCUGUUCGAUCAUUAAAAUCUUACAUGAUCUGAGUUCAAACCGGUGUAAGCCAGGUUGGUUUCUAUCUUUAUAUUAAUAUAAUAGUUUAGUACGAAAGGAUCAAUUAUUGUAAAUAAUUUAAUUUGAUAUAAUGAAUAUUAUUAAUUAUAAUAUAAU
rnacentral:rRNA from 1 species